rnacentral:rRNA from 1 species
UUAAACGGCCGCGGUAUUUUGACCGUGCAAAGGUAGCGCAAUCACUUGUCUUUUAAAUGAAGACCUGUAUGAAUGGUGAAACGAGGGCUUAACUGUCUCCCUCAUCUAGUCAAUGAAAUUGAUCUACCCGUGCAGAAGCGGGUAUUACCAUACAAGACGAGAAGACCCUUUGGAGCUUAAGACAAAAGACCAACUAUGUCAAAAGGAAAGAAACUAAACCAAAUAGCACUGGCCCAAGUCUUCGGUUGGGGUGACCACGGGAAAAAACACAACUCCCAUGUAGAAAGGGUACCCCCUAAAACUAAGAGAGACAUCUCUAAGGCACAGAACAUCUGACUUCAAAGAUCCGGCUACAUGCCGAUCAACGGACCAAGUUACCCUAGGGAUAACAGCGCAAUCCCCUUCCAGAGUCCCUAUCGACAAGGGGGUUUACGACCUCGAUGUUGGAUCAGGACAUCCUAAUGGUGCAGCCGCUAUUAAGGGUUCGUUUG